rnacentral:rRNA from 1 species
AGUUUGAUCCUGGCUCAGGAUGAACGCUGGCGGCGUGCCUAACACAUGCAAGUCGAACGGGGCGCGCCGAUGGAAACUUUUCGGAGCGGAAAUUGGCGCUGCCUAGUGGCGGACGGGUGAGUAACGCGUGAGCAACCUGCCCUGCACUGGGGGACAACAGCUGGAAACGGCUGCUAAUACCGCAUAGGCGCACAGCCCCGCAUGGGGCGGUGUGGAAAGUAAUAUGGUGCAGGAUGGGCUCGCGUCUGAUUAGCUUGUUGGCGGGGUAACGGCCCACCAAGGCGACGAUCAGUAGCCGGCCUGAGAGGGUGGACGGCCACAUUGGGACUGAGACACGGCCCAGACUCCUACGGGAGGCAGCAGUGGGGGAUAUUGCACAAUGGGGGAACCCUGAUGCAGCGACGCCGCGUGGGCGAUGGAGUACUUCGGUAUGUAAAGCCCUAUCAGCAGGGAAGAAAAUGACGGUACCUGACUAAGAAGCCCCGGCUAAAUACGUG